rnacentral:snoRNA from 1 species
GAGGAAUGGGAAGAAACCUGAACAGUCUGCUAUCUCUGAAGCCAAAGGAAGAUCCAACUCUUUUUAGAAUUUUA